UCGCGACCCCAGGUCAGGCGGGACUACC
rnacentral:rRNA from 1 species